AGCAGACUGCGGCGGAGGUAGGCUGGCCUCAGCCCAGCUCCCCCAGGGUCUCCCCCGGAGCGCCGGCCUCCCAGCACGCGAGCAGCCCCCUCCCACCCAGUCCCGCGGCCGCCUCCAGUCCCCCUGCGCCCGGGAAGCCUCCACCUCGCCCGCCCUGACACCGAGGUCCCAGUAUCCAAAGCGCCCCCAGGGCCCCGCCCGCAACAGGGGAAGUUGCAGCCCGCCGCUCUCGGUCACCUUGGCCGUCACCGAGGGGCCUCGCUUGCGGAAGCCCUCGGCCCCCGAAGAAAACACAAGUGCGCCGAGCCCCACGCAAAGCACGAGAGGUAGCAGCAGCCGAGGACCCGGGCCCAUGGUUUUGGACGCUUAGCAGAACUUUGACAUCGCUGGAGGCGUGGAGCCCUGUUGCACUCGAAUAAUGGCCUCUCUUUGAGAUGAUUCACGUCUAGGGAACACUGGAAAAUGCUGGAUUCACAGUGCCCCUUUGCCUUCGAAAAACUUUUACAUUCUGGAAUGCUACAACUACAUUCUCCAAGACUACCUUGUAGCUAGUUUCUGCAUGUGACCUAGCUAUCACCAAGAAGACAUAUUGCUUGAGACUAGGAGGCAGAGAUGCUAAAUGUGAAUGAUAGCUCUGCAGAGAGAGAGAUCAGAUCUUGCAAGUGCAGAGAACAAGACACCUGGAUUUCCUGGGACAGCUGCUCUGGGGAUUU
rnacentral:lncRNA from 10 species